rnacentral:lncRNA from 1 species
GUAUGGUUUCGAACCAUAAGGGGGACCAUGUGUUGUGAUUCUUGCAUUGUCGGGCGUCGGACUAGAUGACCCCCGGGGUCCCUUUCAACUCUACAAUUCUGUGCCUUUCUGGUUCUAUAAUGGACUCCUUGUUGCACAAGGGGACCUCUCAACGCAUUUUAACCCACUAACACAGCUUCACAAAGGAAUCUUCAAAAGUUACUAGCUCUUUUUACUAGUCAUAAACACAUGAACUGCUCACACAUUAGCAGUGCUGAAAGUCAGCAACAACCUGAAAGGAAAGAACCAUCUUUCAAAGUACAAAAUAUUUCCUUGUCUGGUCACUUUGAAUUUUUUUUUCUUUUAUUUGUGCCACAGGUGCUCAAAAAGAGGGCAAUUUUAAUCCUAAACUAAUGGAUCUCUGAUGACUAUAAAGUAAUAUGCAGGCAGUCUGCAUACAGGGAGGUAGGAAUCACCCAUUUGCCAUGGACUGACCACUUCCUGGUGAAGUUUGGACUCGUAUCAGCUGACCUACCCUGCAAGUGUGAGGGACCAGUUAAGAUGGCCCAUCCUGGAGACUAAUGGAAACGGAUGGAUACCUGAAUGCUCUGGGUGUUCCUACAAUGGAUAGAGUGAGUGAUUCUGCUGAGGAUCCUGUCUCGCUGUGUAAUGGUGGGAUGAUGAGGGCCAUUGACACAAUCCUUCUUAUGAUCGUUCUUUAGCAUAGUGGAGCCCAGGAAGCUCCUGGGUUACUGAAGAGCUGCAGGUGAUGAAACAGUCAAGAAAGGACUGGAGCAGGUGGCAUAAAACUUGAAGCCGGCAGAGCACUUGCUAGGGCACAUAACUGCACCUACCAAGUAGCAGCUGAGGCAACUAGGAAGAGGUUUUUUGCUGCUUCCAUUGCAUACAUACAAACACAUACACACACACACACACACACACACACACACACACAGGAGAAUGAAAUCAUGACAUCCAAAGCACUCAGAUCUCACCCUCUGUCAGAUCUAUGUGGCCUAGAGCUCAGCUUAUAAUUUUCUGUUCACUGGGUCCAUGUUUAUCAUUUUCUGGGGAAUAAUUCAAGAACAAAAAUCAAAGAAAGGCAUUAUUUGAUACUUAGAACCAGUGCUUUUUUCAGGAGC